rnacentral:rRNA from 1 species
CACGCCCUAAACGAUGAAUACUCGAUGUUGGCGAUAUACGGUCAGCGUCUAAGCGAAAGCGUUAAGUAUUCCACCUGGGGAGUACNUGAUACGCGAGGAACCUUACCCGGGCUUGAAAGUUAGUGAAUGAUCCAGAGACGGAUCAGCUCUUCGGAGCACGAAACUAGGUGC